rfam:Papilio machaon contig43534, whole genome shotgun sequence.
CAAAAGGCCCUUUUCAGGGCCGCAUAUAUAUCUAGACAAAAAUUC